AACAAAAGUAAAGUCUGUGUUACAAAAAUGAAUUUUGUCAUGACAAAGCUACACUUUUGUCCACUGAAAGAUAAUUUUGUAUGACAAAAUUUAAAUUUGUAGUAUGCUACAAAUUUUGUUUAACUGAACUCAUUUUUGUUGAACAAAGUUCACUUUUGUCAGUACAAAAUAAAAUUUCAAAUUAUAAACCACAAGAGUCCCAUUCGGCACCCCGUACUGUGUAGAUGGAAAUAGAUUUUAAAAAAAAACUUCUUAUAUAUUUCAAGAAUUCAUUUUAAGAUUGAAGAUUAUGUUUGAAUUAGACAGGUGUUUGGUUCACACAGGUUAGAUUACGAAGCACUCAUUUCCACAAUAUUUUUUGUAUUUUUGUUCUGUUAACUCAUAAAUAUGAGUUAAAAAAACCCUGAACUUGAUUCAAACUAAACAUAACCAACCCUGGAAAUGAAAGCCAUUCACCAUUCAUCUCAACCCUGGUAAUGUUAGCCAUUCACCAUUCAUCUCAACCCUGGUAAUGUAAGCCAUUCACCAUUCAUCUCAACCCUGGUAAUGUAAGCUAUUCACCAUUCAUCUCAACCCUGGUAAUGUAAGCCAUUCACCAUUCAUCUCUACUGUUGACAUUUGAAUUGUCAAUUGGUUGUGUUAUAAGUGAACUGUAUUCCCAGGUAUAUGUUGUAGAUCAGGAAAAUAUUUUUAAUUGUUUUUGCUUGUUUAUGCUUUAAAAGCACCUUUAACUUACUACCUUCAUCAGGAUUGUUAAGCCAAUAUACUUAAAAGCAAGAGAUGUAUAAAUAAAUUAAUAGUAUAGUAGGUUGGCAUUGUCUUUCAAAUGUCAGUAGUUUUACCCUGGACACUCAGAUGUCUUCUACCAAAAAACUGACCUACAUAAAACUGCACAUCUAUAUCAAAAAGUAGUACCAGUAUAUUAACCCAAUCACAAAAAUGAUGAUUGUUAAUUAAGCAAGUUAUCUGGGUUAUUUUGUAUAGGUUUAAUGCAUUAUACAUUAUCUAUAAAAC
rnacentral:lncRNA from 1 species